rnacentral:piRNA from 1 species
CCUUCAUCUUCAAGUGAGGAACUCAGUAAAG